rnacentral:rRNA from 1 species
GACGAACGCUGGCGGCGUGCUUAACACAUGCAAGUCGAACGGAAAGGCCCUGCUUUUGUGGGGUGCUCGAGGGGCGAACGGGUGAGUAACACGUGAGUAACCUGCCCUUGACUUUGGGAUAACUUCACGAAACUGGGGCUAAUACCGGAUAGGAGCUCCUGCUGCAUGGGGGGGGUUGGAACGUUUCGGCGGUUGGGGAUGGACUCGCGGCUUAUCAGCUUGUUGGUGGGGUAGUGGCUUACCAAGGCUUUGACGGGUAGCCGGCCUGAGAGGGUGACCGGCCACAUUGGGCCUGAGGUACGGCCCAGACUCCUACGGGAGGCAGCAGUGGGGAAUAUUGCACAAUGGGCGGAAGCCUGAUGCAGCAACGCCGCGUGCGGGAUGACGGCCUUCGGGUUGUAAACCGCUUUCGCCUGUGACGAAGCGUGAGUGACGGUAAUGGGUAAAGAAGCACCGGCUAACUACGUG